AACGAACGCUAGCGGCAGGCUUAACACAUGCAAGUCGAGCGCCCCGCAAGGGGAGCGGCAGACGGGUGAGUAACGCGUGGGAAUCUACCCAUCUCUACGGAAUAACGCAUGGAAACGUGUGCUAAUACCGUAUACGUCCUUCGGGAGAAAGAUUUAUCGGAGAUGGAUGAGCCCGCGUUGGAUUAGCUAGUUGGUGGGGUAAAGGCCUACCAAGGCGACGAUCAUAGCUGGUCUGAGAGGAUGAUCAGCCACACUGGGACUGGGACACGGCCCAGACUCCUACGGGAGGCAGCAGUGGGGAAUAUUGGACAAUGGGCGCAAGCCUGAUCCGGCCAUGCCGCGUGAGUGAUGAAGGCCCUAGGGUUGUAAAGCUCUUUCACCGGUGAAGAUGAUGACGGUAACCGGAGAAGAAGCCCCGGCUAACUUCGUGCCAGCAGCCGCCGUAACAC
rnacentral:rRNA from 1 species